ACGGAAGGCAGCAGUGGGGAAUAUUGCACAAUGGGCGCAAGCCUGAUGCGGCGAUGCCGCGUGAGGGAAGAAGGUUUUCGGAUUGUAAACCUCUGUCAACAGGGACGAAAAUGACGGUACCUGUGAAGGAAGCUCCGGCUAACUACGUGCCAGCAGCCGCGGUAAUACGUAGGGAGCAAGCGUUAUCCGGAAUUACUGGGUGUAAAGGGAGUGUAGGCGGGACUGUAAGUCAGAUGUGAAAUAUGCCGGCUCAACUGGCAGACUGCAUUUGAAACUGCGGUUCUUGAGUGACGUAGAGGUAAGCGGAAUUCCUAGUGUAGCGGUGAAAUGCGUAGAUAUUAGGAGGAACAUCAGUGGCGAAGGCGGCUUACUGGGCUUUAACUGACGCUGAGGCUCGAAAGCGUGGGGAGCAAACAGGAUUAGAUACCCUGGUA
rnacentral:rRNA from 1 species